rnacentral:lncRNA from 1 species
GACAGAGGAGGAGAGCAAUGGAAAUAACACCCCGUCGCGGUCCUGGUGCUUCUCUCCGUGGGCUCGCUUGCUCACCUCGGCGUUUGCGGCUUCUACAGGUACGUACUAGACGACUACCAUUGUUUUUGUUUUCUAUUGACAGUUUGAUCGCUCCAUCAAUCCUUCUAGAGGGUCUUGACAGGAAGGACUGAGCAGCCACUGUGCUGGAGUAGACUGUGUGACAGGUUUUUACCUCUCUCUCCUACCCGUGAUUGGUUUCUUUGGUGAAGAAAGCAUCACCAUCUUUCAAUACAUACUAGAUGCUUGUAUGUCUACAUGGUACAAGAAUGAAGAUUAACCAUUAAAUAUCUUGAUUCAGAGUGAGACAAGGGUGAAACAGAAUAACCUCAUUUUGUGGUGAGUUCUCCUAAAGAUUUUAAUGAGCAGACAUCGGUUGAUGAUAGAGGCUUUGUUAAGCUUGUUUUGAUCCAAAUCCAAUAAUAAAAUUUGAUCAAUUCCUCUAUAAUCUACGGAAGUUGCAUAUAUUUGUCAGGAAUAAUCAGCUUGAUUGAUAAUUUAUAUUUUUCAUUUUGCAGUUUGUAUCUGGUGAAACUUUAUAGGCCAGUUAACAUACAUAUAGAAAUAGUGUCAUUUUCCUUUUAAAAAAAGAUUAGCGUUGCAUGUUGAUAGUAGCAUUGGCCAAUAAUUUCACACCGAAAAGAAUCUAAGAUGAGACAGAAGCAGAU